rnacentral:tRNA from 1 species
GCGGGGGUACCCGAGCCAGGUCUAAAUAGCGGGUCAACACCCCUAGGAAAAGGGGGAGGACUUAAGAUCCUCUGGCGCAGGCCUCCGUGGGUUCGAAUCCCACCCCCCGCACCA